GCCGCCUCCGCGGCAGAGGCUGCAGCGCUCCGCUGAGCAGCCCUGCUGAAGAGGACAAAGCUCACAAACUACAAGAGUGCUCCAUACCUUGGGGGAUCCCUGCACCCUACCAUGUGAAAUUCUUGCGGCCUCCACAAGAAGUCUGUUUUGGGGCUUGGAGGGCAUCAAGAUCCAAGCUAAGUUUCCCACAAAGAUGCAGAGAUCCUCAAAAAGAUCCAUUGCCACUGGGUCCUGGGCCCUGGUGUCAUCUGCACAGUCAGUCCUCAGAGGGAUGCCCAGAGAAGGACGCACCCACUCUGAGCGGGGCAUGCUGCGGCUCCAUGUGUGG